ensembl:lincRNA
CUGGCCUUGUCCGCUGCAGCCUGGGCUCUGAGCAGUGCUAUCCCUAGACCGUACUCAGGGGAUCCUCUGAACUCUGGUCCUGCCCUGCAGCUUGAGCUAUUUUUGCACAGCUCUGUGUUGUGUGGCUUUUAAAUGGCUCCAUAAGCAGCAGGCUUUCUGCGGUGAUUUUUUUUUCCAUCUCACGCUAUGUCCCCUCCUUGUCUCCCCUCCCCUGUCUCCGAGGGUCCAUCUCUCUGGGUCUCUUCUUGUCUCUCCUCACCUCCUCCCGACCUUUCUGCCUUUCGUCAUCUCUGAGGGCCUGACUCUGCAGGCUGAGGCUGGCCGCGUGGAGCUCGAGCUCUCCAUGACCAAGCUGAGGGCAGAGGAGGCCUCCCUGCAGGACUCCCUGUCCAAGCUGAGCGCCCUCAACGAGAGCCUUGCUCAGGACAAGCUGGAUCUGAACCACCUUGUUGCCCAGGGGCUCCAGAGCAGCAGGCACACUGCUGGUGGGGGAGGCACGUCUGUGCAGAGGUCCACUGUGGUCUUCAGCCCAGAGCACAGACAUCCCAACCAGGGCUGCAGGGUGAGCACUCGAGUUUGGGGCCCAGAUGGUGGGCUGGCCUGAUGGAACAGGCAAGAACUGAGGAGACUCUCACCGCUACUGGAGGACCAGACUGAUGGGAGACAGAAGCGGUGCAUGGACUGAUGGGAGACAGAAACUGCGCAUGGACUGACGGGAGACAGAAACUGCGCAUGGACUGACGGGAGACAGAAGCUGCGCAUGGACUGAUGGGAGACAGAAGCUGUGCAUGGGCCACCACCCCUUCAGGGGCACAGUUGCCACUGGCAUGCCUGAAGAGUUUGUUUUCAAAAGAAUGUCUUUCAGAAUUUGUGAUGAAGAACCCAAAAGCAAAUGCGACAAAAUAAAAAAUAGACAAAUGGGACUUCUGCACAGUGAAAGAAACUAUUAAAAUAUCAACAGAGUAAACAGACAACCUGCAGAAGGGGAGAAAAUAUUUGCAAACUGCGUCUGACAAAGGUCUGAUUUCCAGAAUCUAUAAGGAACUUAAACAAUUCAGCAAGCAAAAAAACCAAAUAAUCCCAUUGAAAAGUGGGCAAAGGACAUGAACAGACACUUCGCAAAAGAAGACAUAACGUUGGCCAACAAAUGCAUGAGAAAAUGGUCAACAUCACUAAUCAUUAGAGACUUGCAAAUCAAAACCACAAUGAGACAGCAUCUCAAGCCAGUCAGAAUGGCAAUUAUUAAAAAGUAAAAAAAUAACAGAUGUUGUUGAGGCUUUGAAGAAAAGAAAAUGCUUAUCCAUUGUUAGUGGGAAUGCAAAUGAGAUCAGCCCCUGUGGAAAGCAGUUUGGAGAUUUCUCAAAGAACAAAAAACAGAAUUAUCAUUGGACCCAGCAAUCCCAUCACUGGGUAUAUACCCAAAAGAAAAUAAAUGUCCUACCAAAAAGACACCUGCACUCAAAUGUUUACUGAACCACUAUUCACAAUAGCAAAGACAUGGAAUCAAUCCAAGUGCCCAUCAGCAGUGUAUUGGAUAAAGAAUAUGGGGUACAUAUACACCAUGGAAUACUACACAGCCAUAAAAAGUGAAAUUGCGGCCUUUGCAGCAACAUGAAUGCAUUUGGAAUCCAUUAUCCUAAGCUACUUAAUGCAGAAACAGAAAACCAAACAUCACAUGUGCCCACCCAUAAUGGGGAGCUAAACAGUGGGUAUACACAGACACUGGGGGGUUACUAGACAGGGGAGGGAAGGGGGCAAGGGCUGAAAAACUACCUAUCAGGUUCUAUGUUCACCACCUGGGUGGUGGGAUCGUUAGAAGGCCAGACCUCAGCAUCACGCAAUAUACUCAUGUAAAAAACCUGCAUGGGUAUCCCCUGAAUCCAAACAAAAACCCAGUCUUUCUCUUUCCAAAACCCCAAAGCAAACUUAUCAAAAAAACUUUCCAAGGAAAACACAAUCCCUAGACAAUCCAAAACCCCAAAGCAAACUUAUCAAAAAAACUUUCCAAGGAAAACACAAUCCCUAGACAAACAGCUAUAUUUUCAGCAGAGCAGAUGCCAGCCGGGAAGAC